rnacentral:lncRNA from 1 species
CUGUUAUCAAAUACACUCAACUCAUACAACAAUUGUCCCACACCAAAUCUAUAAUCCCAUCAAUUAUACAAAUAUCAAAACAAAACCAAUGCCUUCCUUCAGGUAAGAACACCAUACAUCAAUCCAGUGUCUUCCCUCAGGUAAGAACACCAUACAUAAAACCAGUGUCUUCCCUCAGGUAAGAACACCAUACAUAAAACCAGUGUCUUCCCUCAGGUAAGAACACCAUACAUAAAUCCAGUGUCUUCCCUCAGGUAAGAACACCAUACAUAAAUCCAGUGUCUUCCCUCAGGUAAGAACACCAUACAUAAAACCAGUGUCUUCCCUCAGGCGUCUGCUUACCUUAUAAUUUGAUGCGCUGCACAGUGGGAUGAAGAUCAUCCAGACGCAGUGGUCACUCACUCCUGGCAAGCUCGCCAUAUGUUGGUUGGUCCUUUGCAUGGAGUGAUCAAAGAUCAGGAAGGUGGUAUCCUUCUUUCAUAAAAGCACAACUGCUGCACAUGUUUUCAAGACAAAACAGGAGAUGCUGGAGCUGCCAAACCACAAACUAAUCCAAGAUGUUCCUACUAGAUGGAAUUCAAGCCAUGACAUGGCUGAGAGAUACCUUGAGCAGAAAGUUGCGGUGUAUUCUACACUGACUGAUCAAGCUGUGAGGAUGAAUGUCAAAGAUAUUGUGACUGUCUGAAAAUAACAUAAGACUAGCAGAGGAAGUUAUCAAAGUGUGCAAACCUCUCAAAACAGUCACAACACUGAUAUGCACUGAGAGCCUUCCAUCAGUUUCCAUGGUCCUGCCUAUGAAAACAAUGAUCCUGAAAUCAAUGGUGUCAUCUGAUGAAGAUGAACCCGCAUUAAGGGAUGUCAAGACUGCUAAUCAGAGUUAACCUGGAGCCUAGAUAUGCUGGCCGUGGUGUCCAAGACUUCUUACACAAGAGCACCGCUUUGAACCCCCGGUUCAAGUCCCUGCUGCACCUGGAUGCUGCUGCUCGUCAGAGUCUACAAUGAACUCACAGCAGAGAUUUUGACCAAUAUACAACAAGGUCAAGCCACAGAUACCACAGGAGCCAACCCCUCUCCAGAGACGGCAGACGACAGGGGUUCUCCUCCAGAAAAAAAGUCUGCCAUGGUUGAGCUUUUUGGUGAGUUGUUCACGACCCAGGAGCAGGGAACCAAGUCAAGGUCAUAGAGGAGGAGGUGACCUCAUACAGGGAGUGGACUGUAUUCCCCUGGAUGCUGAUCCACUUACAUGGUGGAAGACCAAAGAGUUAAUAUACCCUCAGGUUACCAUGUUAGCAAGACACUACCUGGCUGUGCCUGGGACCUCUGUCCCUAGCGAGCGGGUAUUCUCCACAGUGGCUGACAUUGUCACAGCAAGCCGAUCUGUGCUCACUGCAGAUAAUGUGGAUAGACUAAUGUUCUUAAAGAAAAACUUGAAAAUCUGAUAAAGUUACAUUUUUUUCAAGUAACCAGUCUCAAGUGGUCCUAUUUUGUUUAAGGCACUGCUAUGUGACUUAAUGUUGAUAUAUGCUGCUGGACUAUGCACUCUUGUUGAAGUUCUGUUUUAAAUGACUUUUAUUUCAUGUUAUAAGGCAGGCACUGCUGUUUUUUGUUGUCCCUUUGUUUCCAUAUGCUCCUGGGAAUUCAAGCCAGCUGUAACGAGUGCGCUGAGAGUCGGGAAGCAAGUUCAGGGAGUGAAAACAUUUCAUUAGUAAAUCAAGAAACACAAACGGCCCACCGACAUAAAACAGGAACAAUGACGACUGGGGAAGAAACCAAAGGGAGUGACAUAUAAAGGGCAGGUAAUCAAUGAGGUGAUGGAGUCCAGGUGAGUGUCAUUAUGCACCUAACGCUGGUGACAGGUGUGUGUGCCCUAACAAGCAGCCUGGUGACCUAGAGGCUGGAGAGGGAGAACACGUGACACUACCCAUGUAUACUAUUAUAAUAAAUGGAAA